GCAUUAAUGGGGUAGUGGUAACCUGGGUCGUUGCCAUCUCUGCGAUAGGGAAUUCUAUGCUCGACCCCGCCGGGGGUUCGAUUCCCCCUUAAUGCA